rnacentral:rRNA from 1 species
GACGAACGCUGGCGGCGUGCUUAACACAUGCAAGUCGAACGGAAAGGCCCUGCUUUUGUGGGGUGCUCGAGUGGCGAACGGGUGAGUAACACGUGAGUAACCUGCCCCUGACUUUGGGAUAACUUCAGGAAACUGGGGCUCAUACCGGAUAGGAGCUCCUGCUGCAUGGUGGGGGGUGGAAAGUUUCGGCGGUUGGGGAUGGACUCGCGGCUUAUCAGCUUGUUGGUGGGGUAGUGGCUUACCAAGGCUGUGACGGGUAGCCGGCCUGAGCGGGUGACCGGCCACAUUGGGACUGAGAUACGGCCCAGACUCCUACGGGAGGCAGCAGUGGGGAAUAUUGCACAAUGGGCGGAAGCCUGAUGCAGCAACGCCGCGUGCGGGAUGACGGCCUUCGGGUUGUAAACCGCUUUCGCCUGUGACGAAGCGUGAGUGACGGUAAUGGGUAAAGAAGCACCGGCUAACUACGUG